ensembl:lncRNA
AUUUUCUACUUACAGUAAGACCAUCACACUGAAGGUCCACGAGCCUAUAUCCAAGGUGGCGAUCCAGACAGACAUCAAGCUAUUGGCCAACUGCUCCUGUACGGUAUGGCUGGUGUGCAACGUGUCCUGCUACCCCAACAUUACCUACACCUGGGAGAGAGACAAUGAGAUCUACGGGGAUGCCCAGCAGAUUUACUUCUCUCUCUCACCAGCAGAGAGAAACAUCAGUGUAAAGUGCAACGCCUCCAACCUAGUCAGUUGGAAAACUGCCUUUGAGAUGGCAAAUGAUGUGUAGUAAUGACACAUCCACCCCAGGACUGGCGUGGUAUACCAUCUACAUCGGAAUAUCAGUGGGAGGCGCUGUGGUGCUGAUCCUCACUGUAGCUGUGGCAGUGUGCUACUGCAGGGGCCAAAGUAACACAGAAGAUCUAAUUGACAACACAAUAUAUGCUGAUGUUAUGGACAACACAAGAAGUAGAGAUACAAGAUCAAACAGUCAUGUAAACCCAGUAUCCA